UCUUUGGAGGACUAGUGGUUAGGCCUCGGCGCCCUCACCACCGUGGCCCAGGUUCGAUUCCCGGCCAGGGAA
rnacentral:tRNA from 1 species